UUGGACCUGGGUAGUGGCGGACGGGUGAGUACACGUGGGAACGUGCCUUUAGGUUCGGAAUAACUCAGGGAAACUUGUGCUAAUACCGAAUGUGCCCUUCGGGGGAAAGAUUUAUCGCCUUUAGAGCGGCCCGCGUCUGAUUAGCUAGUUGGUGAGGUAAAGGCUCACCAAGGCGACGAUCAGUAGCUGGUCUGAGAGGAUGAUCAGCCACAUUGGGACUGAGACACGGCCCAAACUCCUACGGGAGGCAGCAGUGGGGAAUCUUGCGCAAUGGGCGAAAGCCUGACGCAGCCAUGCCGCGUGAAUGAUGAAGGUCUUAGGAUUGUAAAAUUCUUUCACCGGGGACGAUAAUGACGGUACCCGGAGAAGAAGCCCCGGCUAACUUCGCGCCAGCAGCCGCGGUAAUACGAAGGGGGCUAGCGUUGCUCGGAAUUACUGGGCGUAAAGGGAGCGUAGGCGGACAUUUAAGUCAGGGGUGAAAUCCCGGGGCUCAACCUCGGAAUUGCCUUUGAUACUGGGUGUCUUGAGUAUGAGAGAGGUGUGUGGAACUCCGAGUGUAGAGGUGAAAUUCGUAGAUAUUCGGAAGAACACCAGUGGCGAAGGCGACACACUGGCUCAUUACUGACGCUGAGGCUCGAAAGCGUGGGGAG
rnacentral:rRNA from 1 species